GCGGCCGAUUAGGUAGUUGGUUAGGUAAUGGCUUACCAAGCCGUUGAUCGGUACGGGUUGUGAGAGCAAGAGCCCGGAGAUGGAACUGAGACAAGGUUCCAGGCCCUACGGGGUGCAGCAGGCGCGAAACCUCCGCAAUGUGAGAAAUCGCGACGGGGGGAUCCCAAGUGCCAUUCUUAACGGGAUGGCUUUUCAUUAGUGUAAAGAGCUUUUGGAAUAAGAGCUGGGCAAGACCGGUGCCAGCCGCCGCGGUAACACCGGCAGCUCUAGUGGUAACAAUUUUUAUUGGGCCUAAAGCGUCCGUAGCCGGUUUAAUAAGUCUCUGGUGAAAUCCUGUAGCUUAACUGUGGGAAUUGCUGGAGAUACUAUUAGACUUGAGACCGGGAGAGGUUAGAGGUACUCCCAGGGUAGAGGUGAAAUUCUGUAAUCCUGGGAGGACCGCCUGUUGCGAAGGCGUCUAACUGGAACGGUUCUGACGGUGAGGGACGAAAGUUAGGGGCGCGAACCGGAUUAGAUACCCGGGUAGUCCUAACUGUAAACGAUGCGGACUUGGUGUUGGGGUGGCUUUGAGCUGCUUCAGUGCCGAAGGGAAGCUGUUAAGUCCGCCGCCUGGGAAGUACGGUCGCAAGACUGAAACUUAA
rnacentral:rRNA from 1 species